UACGUAUGGUCCGAGCGUUGUCCGGAAUCAUUGGGCGUAAAGGGUACGUAGGCGGUCUAGUAAGUUAGAAGUGAAAUCCAUUAGCUCAACUAAUGUAAGCUUUUAAAACUGCUAGUCUUGAGUAAUUGAAGGGAGAGUGGAAUUCCUAGUGUAGCGGUGAAAUGCGUAGAUAUUAGGAGGAAUACCGGUGGCGAAGGCGACUUUCUGGCAAUGAACUGACGCUGAGGUACGAAAGCGUGGGUAGCAAACAGG
rnacentral:rRNA from 1 species